rnacentral:rRNA from 1 species
UACGUAGGGUGCAAGCGUUAAUUGGAAUUACUGGGCGUAAAGCGUGCGCAGGCGGUGAUGUAAGACAGAUGUGAAAUCCCCGGGCUCAACCUGGGAACUGCAUUUGUGACUGCAUCGCUGGAGUGCGGCAGAGGGGGAUGGAAUUCCGCGUGUAGCAGUGAAAUGCGUAGAUAUGCGGAGGAACACCGAUGGCGAAGGCAAUCCCCUGGGCCUGCACUGACGCUCAUGCACGAAAGCGUGGGGAGCAAACAGG